rnacentral:rRNA from 1 species
GAUGGGGGGACGCAGUAGGAUAGGCGAAGCGUGCUGUUGGAGUGCACGUCCAAGCAGUAAGGCUGAGUGUUAGGCAAAUCCGGCACUCAUAAGGCUGAGCUGUGAUGGGGAGAGGAAAUUGUUUCCUCGAGUCGUUGAUUUCACACUGCCGAGAAAAGCCUCUAGAUAGAUAACAGGUGCCCGUACCGCAAACCGACACAGGUAGUCAAGAUGAGAAUUCUAAGGUGAGCGAGCGAACUCUCGUUAAGGAACUCGGCAAAAUGACCCCGUAACUUCGGGAGAAGGGGUGCUCUUUAGGGUUCACGCCCAGAAGAGCCGCAGUGAAUAGGCCCAAGCGACUGUUUAUCAAAAACACAGGUCUCUGCUAAACCGUAAGGUGAUGUAUAGGGGCUGACGCCUGCCCGGUGCUGGAAGGUUAAGAGGAGUGGUUAGCUUCUGCGAAGCUACGAAUCGAAGCCCCAGUAAACGGCGGCCGUAACUAUAACGGUCCUAAGGUAGCGAAAUUCCUUGUCGGGUAAGUUCCGACCCGCACGAAAGGCGUAACGAUUUGGGCACUGUCUCAACGAGAGACUCGGUGAAAUCAUAGUACCUGUGAAGAUGCAGGUUACCCGCGACAGGACGGAAAGACCCCGUGGAGCUUUACUGUAGCCUGAUAUUGAAAUUCGGCACAGCUUGUACAGGAUAGGUAGGAGCCUUUGAAACGUGAGCGCUAGCUUACGUGGAGGCGUUGGUGGGAUACUACCCUAGCUGUGUUGGCUUUCUAACCCGCACCACUUAUCGUGGUGGGAGACAGUGUCAGGCGGGCAGUUUGACUGGGGCGGUCGCCUCCUAAAAGGUAACGGAGGCGCUCAAAGGUUCCCUCAGAAUGGUUGGAAAUCAUUCAUAGAGUGUAAAGGCAUAAGGGAGCUUGACUGCGAGACCUACAAGUCGAGCAGGGUCGAAAGACGGACUUAGUGAUCCGGUGGUUCCGCAUGGAAGGGCCAUCGCUCAACGGAUAAAAGCUACCCCGGGGAUAACAGGCUUAUCUCCCCCAAGAGUUCACAUCGACGGGGAGGUUUGGCACCUCGAUGUCGGCUCAUCGCAUCCUGGGGCUGUAGUCGGUCCCAAGGGUUGGGCUGUUCGCCCAUUAAAGCGGUACGCGAGCUGGGUUCAGAACGUCGUGAGACAGUUCGGUCCCUAUCCGUCGUGGGCGUAGGAAAUUUGAGAGGAGCUGUCCUUAGUACGAGAGGACCGGGAUGGACAUACCUCUGGUGUACCAGUUGUCGUGCCAACGGCAUAGCUGGGUAGCUAUGUAUGGACGGGAUAAGUGCUGAAAGCAUCUAAGCAUGAAGCCCCCCUCAAGAUGAGAUUUCCCAACUUCGGUUAUAAGAUCCCUCGAAGAUGACGAGGUUAAUAGGUUCGAGGUGGAAGCGUGGUGACACGUGGAGCUGACGAAUACUAAUCGAUCGAAGACUUAAUCAA